rnacentral:lncRNA from 1 species
AAAUAAUAAUAAUAAUAAUUAGAAAGAAAAAACAUCACCCUAAGAGACUGUUAUGUUUACUGUGUAGUGAUUUCCCAACAGAAAUUAAUUUAAAACAAAUUUACAUUCUACAUUUAAAGAAGAUAUAAAUAAUUCAUGUUCUCAUAUCAUAAGCACUCUGCAUGACAUACAUCGGGGUACCUGUAAUUUUUCAGUUUACCCAUUUAAAAUUUUCAUUCAGGAACUCAUUAUUAUGGUUUUUUGCACUUCUAUUCCGUCGUGGUAAUUUAAUAGUCUUCAGCAGAAUUAUGUUCAGUACAAAUGUAUUCAGUUUUACUAUUCCAAAUCUUUUCAGCUUUUAAUUUAACUGCUGUAGGUUUCAAUUUUACUUAUCUAUAUUAACUUAUUACUAUUAACCUGUUCAUGGAUUCUGCUCUCAGAACUACAGAAAGACUAACACAGCAAAGUCUGCAGAGCAGGGUUGCACUCCUUUUAAGCCACUUUUCUGUAACUGUCACUCACUUUACUUCAAGCCAGUGAUUCCUAUAAUCUCCAAGAGCAGAGUUGAGCCCCAAUGCUUCAUUGUUUCAGCAGCCACUCUUCUUCCUUGCAAGCACAGUGAAAUCUUUCACUUGCUAGUGCACCCUGCCAUCCUCUGAAAUGCCAUUCCUACAUCAGCACAUGCUCCUCUGGUUUCUAUUUGUCCAUCUUCUGCCUGGGAUUAUUGAGUGUAUGAAUUCCUGCAAGAGCCCCUAAGCUACCAAUAUGCUCAAAGCUCAGCAUGCAUGGGAGUGGUACACCGUGAGGAUCCCCACUAGCAUCCAUGUGUCUGCAACCAGGAGUAGAAGAUCUCCUAGGAAGUGCUAACAUACAAACGUAUUUACGAAUACAAUACCUAUCUGAAGGGAGAAAAUCAGCUCUGCAUCUUCUUCACUGGGCCAGCUCUGAUCCUAUGUUGCAGGUGUUACCCCUACACCUUGCUCCAUUCAGAAAGAGCUAUGAGGAAGACUUCUCACCAGGAUGCACAAAAUUCCUCCAAGCAGCCCAAGAAUUUGCUCAACUUGCUCUGUCUUCACCUAUGUGCCCAGUGCACAAGAAGAAUUAGAGAAAAAACAGAGAAGUCAUAUGUUGAGGGAACGGCUGUAGUUAUUACCAUCUGUGCAUAGAUGCCCAUUUGAAAACACCUUUUUAGUUCCUUCAGCACUCAGUGGAGAGUAUCAACUCAUCUCAGCCAGAAACAAUUCCCUGUGGGAUGAUCUACCCUUCAGAAAUAUCAUUCAAAGGCCUACCAAAGGGUCCUUAGGGGAUGAGCUUAUACUCACAAUGUCACGUUUACCUGGCAUGGCUGACAGAGGGCAAAGAUCCCAUGCAUAUACCCUAAAUACAAAUGCUGUUAUGGAAAUGUAACACUAUAAUAAAAUGGAAAACACAGCAAUAACAGCAGGAUAGCAGAGUCCCAGACUACAGCAAGUGAGGAUAAACCCAAGUGCAACAGCCACAGAUACAGAAAUAAAGGGGGGGAAAAAAAAAAACUUCUUACCAUCAGAAGACCUCAGGUAGGCAGAUAUCUCAAGCCAGAUACCUUUAUCUCCACUGUCAACCCUUAAAUGAGGUCUGGUCACUCAAGUAUAUUGCAUGCACCUGAGCUCCCCUGGGUUGGCCCUGCCUUGUCACCAGGUGCUCAGUCAUUGCUUCAGGCUGUGACUCGGCAUCACCGUACAGGAGGAUAAAACAUAUAUAGAUGGGUGCUUGUCUCCUAAGCAUUUUGCUCUCACUAGCCAGCUACUAUCUGUACUACAGUGCUGUUAAAGUUCAGGAUGCUUUUGAGUUGUUGUUUAGGUGUUUUGUUAGGUGCUGUGCUAUCCUCUCAUUCACUUUUCUCCUCAAUCCCCAGAGCAAAGAUGAAAAUUAUGUACUACAAUUGCUACACUUUUCUUUAUAAAAACAGACCAAGAAAUAUUCAGAAUAUAAAACACAGUAUUAUACCCAGCAGAGAGGCUAAAGAAUUCAUUCUUGUAGCAAUAUUAUUUUAGUCCACGUCCCAGUUGUAUUAUUUAAAUGAUUCGUUAUUUGCAACUUAGUUUUUUCAAAAAGAAAAAUCUGUUUUGACAUCUCUCAGUUUUGUUAAACUAUCUUUUACACCUGAAUUAGCGUGAAUUUUAUUGCUGUAUUUUCCCAAUUUAUUAAAAGGGCUGUACUUUACAAAUAAAACUGCAGGAUGGAUUUAUUAUUUACAGUCCUAGUCCUAGCCUUCAUAUCUACUUAAUAUGUGUAAAGUGUUUAGUUUUCCGAUGUAGUCCAGCUGCAUCACUGGAAUCAAACUUGUAAUUGCCUCUUUGGGAUUUAAAACCAUUAUAGUUGUGCUUUUAUGUUCUCUUUUGUUUUGCUUGAAUCACUUUUUCAGGUCUAUGAAGUACAGCUGGCACAAUAAAAGUUUGAUCAAUGCAUAACCAAUGCAGUGUAUAUUUCUUCCAGAUAUAUAAAACCCAGGUGAAAAAUGUUAAUCUAUGAAAAUUAUCUUUGUCAGCUACUUAUUCUUGG